GCCAGGGCAUGGUGGUGCAUGCCUGUAGUCCCAGCUACUCGGGAGGCUGAGGCAGGAGGAUCACUUGAGCCCAGGAGGUUGAGGCUGCAGUGAGCUGUGACUGCACCACUGCACUGCAGCCUGGGCAACAGAGUGAGACCCUGUCUCAA
rnacentral:SRP_RNA from 1 species